GCGGUCAUGGCGGAAUUGGCAGACGCGCUACGUUGAGGUCGUAGUCCCGAAAGGGGUGGAGGUUCGAGUCCUCUUGACCGCACCA
rnacentral:tRNA from 2 species